AUACGGAGGAUCCAAGCGUUAUCCGGAUUUAUUGGGUUUAAAGGGUGCGUAGGCGGACCCUUAAGUCAGUGGUGAAAGUUUGCAGCUCAACUGUAAAAUUGCCGUUGAAACUGAGGGUCUUGAGUGUAAAUAAGGUAGGCGGAAUGUGUUGUGUAGCGGUGAAAUGCAUAGAUAUAACACAGAACCCCGAUUGCGAAGGCAGCUUACUGGGAUACAACUGACGCUGAGGCACGAAAGCGUGGGGAUCAAACAGGAUUAGAUACCCUGGUAGUCCACGCAGUAAACGAUGAAUACUAGCUGUAUGCGAUAUACUGUAUGCGGCACAGCGAAAGCGUUAAGUAUUCCACCUGGGGAGUACGUUCGCAAGAAUGAA
rnacentral:rRNA from 1 species